rnacentral:rRNA from 1 species
AGCUUGCUUUCUCGAGCGAGUGGCGAACGGGUGAGUAACGCGUGAGGAACCUGCCUCAAAGAGGGGGACAACAGUUGGAAACGACUGCUAAUACCGCAUGACGCAUAAGAGUCGCAUGGCUUUUAUGCCAAAGAUUUAUCGCUUCAAGAUGGCCUCGCGUCUGAUUAGCUAGUUGGCGGGGUAACGGCCCACCAAGGCGACGAUCAGUAGCCGGACUGAGAGGAUGAACGGCCACACUGGAACUGAGACACGGUCCAGACUCC